GACCAAAUGGUUGACCAAAUUGUUCAUCUAAAAGUGCAACUUUAAGGUUUACGAUGGUGGCUUACUGACUGACUCCCAGCAGACCUCAGUUUACACACUGUCUCCUUCCAUUAGACAGACAAUCCCCAUUCCCGCAGCUUGUCAAUAUUAUUCAAAGGUUUAUUGUAAAGUUGUUUAAUGUUGUAAAUAGAUAUUUAAGGACCCGUGACUUGCCAAUUCAUUUACAUGAAAUACUAAGAUGACCACAUCCUCUCUUAGAGGAUGCAGGCUUAUGCUCCUGGUAAAUAUGCCAGAAGUAACAAGUUUGCAAAACAGGAAGUGCUGGAUGACGCCCAGCCUCACAGGCCUUUGUCUUUGACAUUUCCUCAAUAGAAUAACAGAAGAAAUUUGAAUAUCCUUUUAUCUUUCAACAACAUAAAAAGAGAGGAUGGCACAGUGUUAAAUAAACAUCUGCCCCCAGCUGGUAAAUUUAAAGAGAACAAUUAAUCCUGAUGACUUUGUGAGAAUUAUGGUGUUAGGUAUCGAUCUUCACAUUUUAUCGGAGGUGAUCAUUUUUGUCAGUGAAUAAUUACUUAAGAAAGAGUAAUUGUUUUCUUAUUGUCUUGAACUCUCCCUCAGCUCUCUCUCUUUCCAAUUCAUGUCCAUCACUGUGGUGUAAAGGCAAUUUCAUUAUUAACUGAACAUAAUAACAAAUCCAUGUUGCUGUUUAAACUCUGCAAUAAAUCUGCAGAAAGAGCAUGGCCAGUGUAGUUCACCUAGUUCAUUGCCAUUGCAGGACUUUUUAAAAUCCAGCACAUAGGUUUUUGAGCAUGAACUGUACAUUCAUGCUGUACUCUAAAGUCUUGCCACAGCAUCAUAACCGGGUUCAAGUUGAGAGCUAACAUUUGGUGUUUGUCCUGAUGCCUAUGUAAAUACGUGCUCAGGACAUUAUGUGUUGCUCUACAAAUUGUUUGGAGUGUCCAGUCAGUUGUAUUGGCAGUUUGCUACUGCAUGGCGUGAGUUUUAUUUGCUUUGCAGCUUGUUUUUUCGAAUUUAACUGUUGCUUGUGGGUAUCGUUGUGUUAUUGCGAAGUUGUGCUCUCCCUGUUGUUAAAAAAAAUCCACUGUGUGUGUGUAUGUGUGUGCAGAGGUGAUAAAAGCACACACAUACUUUACUCAAGUAGAGGUACAGGUACUUGUAUUAAAAAUAACUUGAGCUGAAGUUUAACCACUGUUUCGGCUUCUUUAACCAAGUAAAAGUAUAAAAGUACAGGUUCUGAAAUGUACUUUGACUUCUUUAACUGAACUACUCUUACUUCAAAUAAAGUAAAAAACAAUUCACUUAAACGGAGGGUUAAAGCAAAGAUUUUUGAGCAUGAAAAACUGUCCACAAGAAAAUGAGUACAAUGUAUUGAAUGAAGUAUUUUCUUAAAAGGUCCAGUGUAUAAGACUUAGGAGAAAGUGAUCUAUUGGCAAGAAUUGAAUAUAAAAUAAUCCACCAGUGGGCAAUCGUCAAAAUUGUACAGAUUGAACAGAAUGGGCCCUGCUAGAUUUAAAUACUUUAUAUUUACAUCGAGGGGACCCUCUCUACGGAGGCCGCCAUGUUUUUUACAUUAGUCCAGACUGGACAAACUAAACACCUUUUGAGUUUUUAUGACAACUGAAGCUACCACAGGUUCUUUUUCAUGUUUGGAAGGAGAGGGUGAGGUGAGGGGUGUUCAGCUGCAACAUGCAACUUCAACACUAGAUAUCACUAAAUUCUACACACUGUACCUUUAAGGAGAACUAUAGAAAAAUUAAGUCAUUUUUACAACAUGCAAAACUUUUUUAAUAUCAUCUUUAAAUGCACAUUAUGUACUU
rnacentral:misc_RNA from 1 species